AAAUUGAAGAGUUUGAUCAUGGCUCAGAUUGAACGCUGGCGGCAGGCCUAACACAUGCAAGUCGAACGGUAACAGGAAGCAGCUUGCUGCUUCGCUGACGAGUGGCGGACGGGUGAGUAAUGUCUGGGAAACUGCCUGAUGGAGGGGAAUAACUACUGGAAACGGUGGCUAAUACCGCAUAACGUCGCAAGACCAAAGAGGGGGACCUUCGGGCCUCUUGCCAUCAGAUGUGCCCAGAUGGGAUUAGCUUGUUGGUGAGGUAACGGCUCACCAAGGCGACGAUCCCUAGCUGGUCUGAGAGGAUGACCAGCCACACUGGAACUGAGACACGGUCCAGACUCCUACGGGAGGCAGCAGUGGGGAAUAUUGCACAAUGGGCGCAAGCCUGAUGCAGCCAUGCCGCGUGUAUGAAGAAGGCCUUCGGGUUGUAAAGUACUUUCAGCGGGGAGGAAGGUGUUG
rnacentral:rRNA from 2 species